rfam:Camelus ferus unplaced genomic scaffold scaffold778, whole genome shotgun sequence.
GAGGGUACGGCUCAGUGGUAGAGCACGUGCUUAAAAUGCAUGAGGUCAUGGGUUCAAUCCCCAGUACUUCCA